CAUGAAUGUUAAGAGUAAAGAUAAACAACUUUUUAGCUAAAAAUUACAUUCAAGCUAUACCUUGACAAAUAAGGAUGUGAAUUGACAAUGUGUGUGUGUGUUUGCCUGUGUUUGCUUGUAUAGAGGUUACAUGUAAGCUUCCUACAAAAUGCAAAAGUACAAAAGGUGUUGCAGUGAAAAGUAAGUUUCCCUGAAAUCUCUGACCCCGUGUACCAGUUCUUCCACCCAGGAUCCCUUGUUGCAAGUUUCUCCCCUCCACUACCACCUGGAGCUAUUCUGUGCAUGUGGAAUUAAGAUUCCAAUUGAAGAUGGAGGGAGAGGCUGGAGAGAGGCAAUUCCAAAACAGAGAACUACACAUGCAAAGCCGUCGAGGUGAAGAAGUGGAGAAACGUGAGGGAAAAAGUUUUGGCUUCCUUGUCCUGCCUUCUGCCAUGUGAGGACACAGCACGUCUAUCCCUCCAGAGGGUACAGCAUCAAGGUGCCAUCUUGGAAGCAGAAGGCAGCCCUCACCAGACAACUGGCACCUUGACCUUGGACUUCCCGGCCUCCAAAAUUGUGAGAAAAUAAAUUUCUGUUCUUAAUAAAUUA